rnacentral:rRNA from 1 species
UACGAAGGGGGCUAGCGUUGUUCGGAUUUACUGGGCGUAAAGCGCACGUAGGCGGAUCGUUAAGUCAGGGGUGAAAUCCUGGAGCUCAACUCCAGAACUGCCUUUGAUACUGAAGAUCUUGAGUUCGGGAGAGGUGAGUGGAACUGCGAGUGUAGAGGUGAAAUUCGUAGAUAUUCGCAAGAACACCAGUGGCGAAGGCGGCUCACUGGCCCGAUACUGACGCUGAGGCACGAAAGCGUGGGGAGCAAACGGGAUUAGAAACCCCGA